CUCCUAAAUUAAAAUAGACCUUAGAGACCUAGACUUUUGGAAUCCGCCGUUUACACCAAAGGACACCCCCCAAUUCCCCAAAAUCGAUCACUCCCUAGGAGGACCCCUGCAAAAUCCCCACGCCUCUGCCUCCCAUUUCCAUAACCCAUCUUAUCAAACAAGCUAAUAAACCCAUUUUCCCAUUCAAAUCGAUACCAUUUUUCUCGUUAGUCCAUGACUCUAAUACGCUAAAUCGAUGUCCCUAGCGACUUCAACAGUGGAAAUUGUUGUCCCAAAAGAUUUUCUAUAUAAUUCCGCCACCUCCAAUCAUACAGACCUCCUUGUUCCUUAUUUAUGUUCCAUGGAUAGAAUCUAAUUGAAGCUGCGUUUGGAGUUCGAGUUCUGCGGCGCCGAUCGAGGUCCGUUCGUGAUUGAUAGUUCCUGUUGCUUGGCUGGUGUUUGUCGUGGAUUUUCGCUGCCGGAUUUACUCAUAUUUGAUUGCGAGCAGAAUUAAUUAAAGAUGCAUUCAGGCCUUCCUUAGUUCUUAUCUACUGAAUGUUCUUCUGUUUGUAUGCUCCAUUGCUUGACUCUAUCGGCUUUGAAAGAUGAAUGCGGGCCGUGCGAGUGGGGAAAGGCCGAGCUUAUUAGUAAUUAAAUUGUUUACAUGUCCUAGGAAUCGAGCUUGGCCAAAUACAUAAAAAUGAAAAUUCAAGUGAAUAUGAGCAUGAUUUAGAAUUUCCCCUUUUAUCUA